AUGCUCACUUCAGCAGCACAUGUACUAAAAUUGGAACGAUACAGAGAAGAUUAGCAUGGCCCCUGUGUAAGGAUGAUGUGCAAAUUCGUGAAGUGAUCCAUGUUUAA